GACGAACGCUGGCGACGCGCUUAACACAUGCAAGUCGAACGGAAAGGCCUGCUUUCCCUUGUGGAUUGCGGGUACUCGAGUGGCGAACGGGUGAGUAACACGUGAGUGAUCUGCCCCCAACUUGGGUAUAAGCCUGGGAAACUGGGUCUAAUUCCCGAUAGGACUGCAGGGUGGUGCCUGUGGUGGAAAACGAUUUUCUAGUGGUUGGGGAUGAGCUCGCGGCCUACCAGCUUGUUGGUGGGGUAAUGGCCUACCAAGGCGGCGACGGGUAGCCGGCCUGAGAGGGUGGACGGCCACAUUGGGACUGAGAUACGGCCCAGACUCCUACGGGAGGCAGCAGUGGGGAAUAUUGCACAAUGGGCGGAAGCCUGAUGCAGCGACGCCGCGUGGGGGAUGACGGCCUUCGGGUUGUAAACUCCUUUCGACCGCGAGGAAGCCACCUGGUUGGAAGGGUGGUGACGGUAGUGGUAGAAGAAGCACCGGCUAACUACGUG
rnacentral:rRNA from 1 species